rnacentral:rRNA from 1 species
GACGAACCGAGCGAACGUUGUUCGGAAUCACUGGGCGUAAAGGGCGCGUAGGCGGCGGUUCAAGUCGGGGGUGAAAGCCUGUGGCUCAACCACAGAAUGGCCUUCGAUACUGGACGGCUCGAGACCGGAAGAGGUCAGUGGAACUGCGAGUGUAGAGGUGAAAUUCGUAGAUAUUCGCAAGAACACCAGUGGCGAAGGCGGCUGACUGGUCCGGUUCUGACGCUGAGGCGCGAAAGCGUGGGGAGCAAACAGG